UACGGAGGGGGCAAGCGUUACUCGGAAUUAUUGGGCGUAAAGGGCGCGUAGGCGGUCUCGUGCGUCAGGGGUGAAAUCCCCGGGCUUAACCCGGGACGUGCCUCUGAUACGGCGAGACUUGAGUCCGGGAGAGGGGAGCAGAAUUCCCAGUGUAGCGGUGAAAUGCGUAGAUAUUGGGAGGAAUACCAGUGGCGAAGGCGGCUCCCUGGACCGGUACUGACGCUGAGGCGCGAAAGCGUGGGUAGCAAACAGG
rnacentral:rRNA from 1 species